rnacentral:rRNA from 1 species
AUGGCAAUGCAAGACCAUCCUUCUCCGUGUGGCCACCACCCCCAAAUCCUCUUGGAUAAAAAAUGUUUAGUGGGCGAGUUGAAAAAUUCCAUUACCACAAAAUCCAAGAAUAGCAAAGGGGUUCACUUGGAGGUUUCUUUUGAAGCAGUUGACCCUCCAGCCAUCUCACUGUGCCUGGUCAGCUGCGUUGAUCAGACCGGGGAUCGCUUGGCAGCACCGCCUCGUAUACUUGGUGUAACUAGAGGCUUUGUACUGCUGGCUAUCACCUUCUCGGACAGUGUCAACCGUUACUUGCGGUUCAUCGACUAUUUUGUUUACAAAGCAGGGCCCGAUUUCGCCUCUCUUCAUCUUCUUGCAAGGCCAUACCCGUCUUCUUUUUCGCCAAACAUGGCUGCCAUCUUGCCUGUUAGUGAUAACAGUGAAGACUUUGCUGUCAUUUUCCCACAUGUUGAAUAUUUUAGUCUUGAGUCUCGCAAACAUUACACACUCCACAUAUAUCGAUCUGACACGAAUGAUUGGCACUCUCAGGUCGCUUGUAUCGCUGAGGAUAAUGAGACAAGGAAUGCCAGGGAUAAGCUAUUGCUUCAUAAUACCAUGAGCGUGGCAUACGCAGAAAAGGGUAUCGUAGGUUGGAUUGAUCUCUGGUGGGGAAUUCUCUUAUGCAAUGUUUUGGAUAAAAAGCCUACCAUCCGUUUUGUUCCGUUGCCAGUUCCGGAACCGUGUGAUACGUCUGAGUUCCAUUUGAUGUUUGAGAAUCUCACUCCAAGACCACACUGUCAUGUGACGAUAUUCAAUGAUUUGAUCAAGUGUGUUGAGUUAGAUUUUCAUGUGCAAGAUGCUUUCUUCAACAUGAAGCGAGCAAAGGAUUAUGGCUGGAUGGCUAAAACAUGGACUAGAUCAAUUUAUUCAGAUGUUUGGUGUGAUGGCUUGACGAUUGAUACGUCUGAGAUAUCUUUCACCGACUCAAGUUUGCCAAAUUUGUUGCCUGGGAUGUUUGAUGAGGAAAACAAUUUGACUUGGAAGAAAUUGACUAGUGCUGGUCCUACAUUAAGCUUGCUUGAUGACAAUGUUAUUUACAUUAUGGCGAAGGAGAGCAUGUGCCAUCCGACAGCAUAUGUACUUACUGUGGACACCAAAAGUUUGAAGCUCGAGUCUGGUGCGCAGUGUGCUCCUCAAAAGACGGUGUGA